rnacentral:rRNA from 1 species
UACGUAGGGUGCGAGCGUUGUCCGGAAUUAUUGGGCGUAAAGAGCUCGUAGGCGGUGUGUCACGUCGAUCGUGAAAACUUUCAGCUUAACUGGGAGCUUGCGGUCGAUACGGGCAUCACUGGAGUUCGGCAGGGGAGACUGGAAUUCAAGGUGUAGCGGUGAAAUGCGCAGAUAUCUGGAGGAACACCGGUGGCGAAGGCGGCAUCCUGGACCGGCAUUGACGCUGAGGCGCGAAAGCCAGGGGAGCAAACGGG